UACGUAGGGCGCGAGCGUUGUCCGGAAUUAUUGGGCGUAAAGAGCUCGUAGGCGGCUUGUCGCGUCGGAUGUGAAAGCCCGGGGCUUAACCCCGGGUCUGCAUUCGAUACGGGCAGGCUAGAGUUCGGUAGGGGAGAUCGGAAUUCCUGGUGUAGCGGUGGAAAUGCGCAGAUAUCAGGAGGAACACCGGUGGCGAAGGCGGAUCUCUGGGCCGAUACUGACGCUGAGGAGCGAAAGCGUGGGGAGCGAACAGG
rnacentral:rRNA from 1 species